rnacentral:misc_RNA from 1 species
GUGUAAGAAAUAGUCAAUAUAAGGCUCAAAAAUCAUUGUUUUUAGUCUUGGCUAUUUUGGGCUAUAUUUUUUAUGGCUUUGGCUAUAUUGGGCUAUACCUCUCAGUUAUUUGGCGGUUUUUGUGGGACCAUCUGGCAACACUGGUCUACAGUACUAUGGAUAUACACAAGUAAAUACAUUAAUAUUUAAAAAAAAUAUUCCAACCAAACAUAUUACAUGCACAAGCCAAACAGUAUGCAAACAGCAAGAAAAAAAAAUGUACACAGCAUGUACAAAUUAAUAAAAAAUGGUGUGAUUUGUUACCUAACUUUAAUGUUCUCGAGUCUUGCUUUUUGGGGCCUGAGGGAUAUGGUCAUUUCAUAGCCAGUCGUGGGAAAACUACAAUGUCCUAGUACUACGCCCAUAAAAAUGAAGGGCCCAAAAAGUUUGUGCUGAUCGUCGAGAGGUCGGGCGCUUGCAUCCCUCUUCCUUACCGAUUUUUCGGAGGUCUGGGUUAAAAUCCUCUUGGGAUAGUGUUUCUUUAUUGCUUUAAUUCAUGUUUUAUUAUAAUUCUAAUCCACGAUCUGGUCCCACAGCCACAUUCCUCAACGAAUGCGAUCUGUGGUGGGAGGUGCAGCAUGGUUUGAUGGUUGCCAAACAACAGGGAACCUGGAUGUGUUUGAGGCCGAAACAGUCGCAAUCACUUUUUGCAGUAGCAUAGAACUAAUGCAAGAAUGCCGAUAAAUACCUCAAUGUUUUUAUACCUCACAAUUUAAUAUUUUAAGUCUAAAUAAAGUUGAAUAUCUGUUAAACCUUCUUACAUAGCCAAGGUGACGUUCCGUUGCUCAUGCUGCCCAUGCUUAUGAAAUGUUGGCACAAUAUUUUACCGAAGUACCUAGAAAUCAUCUUCUUUGUGGUUUAUUCAAUAUAGAUAAAUUGAUGUCUGGCAGAUACAUUUUGUUUUCAUGGCCCCUUUAAUCGGUGUGACCAACCUACCGUGAAGUCUCGAGAUAGCUCACCUAAACUCGAGAGAAAAUUAGGUAAAAAUAAGGAGUAAGCUAACUUUCUAUCUGCAAUCGAGAAAAGUUGAAAAAAUGCUAUUUUUAGAUCAUUUGUCUUUGUCAAACUUGUUAUCGCAGCGAGGGGCAAUGAAGCAAAGAUGACCACACUUCCCAGUCGGCAAUAUUUGCUUAUAUCCCUCUAUAGGUACCUAGCGGGAUUUACACCAAGGACAUCAUUGAUCCGAACACUACGAUUACUACGAAUAAACUAUUUUUUGGUGUUUAAAAACAAACAAAUUGAACAUCAAGCCACAAAUCCCAGAAGGGAAAAUCCCUUUUGGGAUUUUCUGGUAUGUUGAUUAUUGUUAAUGUUAUUUGUAUUUAUUGCUAAAAUUUUCCUGAACUGGGAAUUAUAGAGUGAUUGAGAAAAAUAAACUCUGUUUUUUGGCACACAAAUAAACUAUGCACCGCGAAAACCUGAAAGUAAAAGAAACCAAAAAGUUGAUGCCAGCAGUGGGAAUAGUUGCAAAAGUUUGAGAGCAUAAUAAAGCAGAACAAAAAAUGUUAAUGAAUUGACGUUUGAUGAUCGUUAGGCUUUGAUGUAUGUUGGCUCAAGAAGAAAUAUUACCUUUGGCUUUAUAUUUUAUUCAAAUAACACUGUUCUCAAACUGUAUUCUGUCACCAAUAAUAGUGUCACAUUCCCACAGGGGUUCCUGCAAUUCGUGAUUUAUUUAUUGGGACCGAAAAAGUGUGUUGUAUUUUCUCAAUCUGACCAUGUCGUGUGACAUGCUACUGCCUUGAAAAUGAUUGUAUACUUGAUUUGCAGGAGCAUCGAUUGCCUCGCAUUUUUCCAAACCUUGCAAGUCAUCGCUGCUUCGGUGAAGGUGCUAUCACCAGCCCUGUGCAUCGUUUGCAAGUGCUGACCUCAAAGUUCCUUGCAUUCUCCCUGUGCACUGCGUGAAGGUCGACACUGGCGACCAUCGCAGGAUGUGGCAUGUGGCAUAUGGUUUGCAGAGAUGCUUCUUCCCACUGGCCAACCCAAGUUUCUGGAGCAUGCGUUCUUUGUGCAGUGUCCUUGCUUAUACCAGUCCAGCAUCAUCAAAAUGAGUGUCUCCUAUUGCAUCAAAUGGAUCCCAGUUAUUUAGAUGAGCACGAGCAGUCGACCUAUGUGAUCACAAUUCACCCCCCACUCCAUUUGUGCAGACAAAACCAGUGUGAUGUGCUUGUCUUGCAACACAUGCUCUUGUUGGGUGUUUGAGACUACAAGGUGUCAGCAAUUAUUUUGCAAAUUGCAUUCUGACACUGGAAGCAUUGCUUGCAUACUCAAGUAGUGUGUGAUUUUUCAUAGAUUUACAGUGACAUUCACUCUGCAGUGACAUUUUGUAGAACAUUAUUAUACAACGGACAGACAUCACUACAUGGUACGUCCACAGUACUAUAGCAUUCACUGCAGCCUUAUUAUGUCAUAGCAAUUUUGAAGCCCGGAAAAUAGAUUGGUUUAUUAUUGCUUACAUCUAUUAGGAUGUGAGGUGAGCUGCGCUUCAAUUAAAGAUAAAGUAUACAUAAAAGUUUUCUGCGUGACUGGGCUAUGCCUGUCAAUUUUUCAUUAUCUUAAUAUGUGAUAUCACAUGAAUGUAAUAAGAGCCCUUCUUAAUGCUUUAAUUGUACCUUGCCGAGUUUGUUCCCUUUGUUCUUAAACAAAAAGGGUGUCGAUAGGUUUGUUUUGUGUGUGCUGCCUUCUGCUGAAGGCAGUGCAGUGGAGGAUCUGGUGCGACAUUUGCGCCAAACUGCGCCAUAAUGAAUGACCUGCUACAUGCUGCUCCAAAGGCUGUAUUUGUGCACAAUUUGCGCCAUGUCUGCACCAAAGGGAGCUGUUCUCAAAAAGGAAACUGAAAGUAUUUGGCAUGUAGCAUUCUUGGCGAUGCCACUGAAAAUUAAGAAAGUACAGUUUUUUUGUUGUUUUUUUUUUUUUUUUUUUCGGAUGCCCAAGCACUAUGUGCUAAGUGUAGGGCUGUGCAAAUAUUCAAAUUAUAAACAAUAUUGAUAUUUUUCGAAGUGUUGAUCAUGUCGGGUUAACCCCCUUGAGUGCGCUUCUCCUCAAGCACCAUUGCACUGCGGAGAAGCAAUACUCGCGGAGCUGACACCGCAAUCUCGGGACUCACUUCGCCGCAGCGCAGCCGGACACUUAGGUGAAAAACACACCUUCAGAGAGGUAUAAUGCAUGCAUGCGCCUGGUGUAAUGAAAAAAGAAAACAUUGUCUUUGUUGAUUCUUAGAUUGCAGUAAAAUCUUCAAAAUUUAACUGUGGCUAUCAUGCCAGGGUAUAUGUUAGACAGCAAUGUUUUAACAACCUGUGUUCAAUAUUUGUGCUUGUUUUCUUUUAAUUCAGCAAUGGAAAAAAUCCCUUCAAUUAGGUAUGGCUCUCUUAUAGGUUUAAUUUUAUGUCAAAUAUGUCAUUCACCUGCCUUGCCAAUGUAGGUAUUCCACUGUCUGAGGCCAGAGUCUGUAAAUAUAGCUAGAUUAAAUUUAACAGAGCUCAUAAGUGGGCAGUUGGAGGUUUGGGGAGAAGCUUUGCAAGUUCAGCUGAUUUUCUCUUUAAGCAUGGUGUAGCAGUAGUGAAAGGAGCAGCAACUAUUCAAUAUUCGAUUAAAAUAUAUUCGGCCAGAACCCCUAUUCACUUUGAAUUUGCUUCAAACCCAAUAUCCAUUAUUUGCACAUGCUUAAUGAAGAGUUGUCGGUUCUUGUGCGAACGGUGUUCCCAUCGAUUGCAAUAAAUAGGUUGUGCUACUCAUUGUGAUCGGUAAGAGUAGCCAUGUGCUCCACUUAGCUGCUCUAUGAACAGUAGCAGGUUGAAUACGAGCGAAGGCAGCGUGGGACACAUUCAAUGCAAAAGUGUCCGUUUUUCCUCAGCGUAAUUUCCUCACUGUAAUACAAACCCUACAAAGUAGCCAAAAACAUUUUUUCUACAUCAAACCGAAGACGCCGUCGGUACUCCUAAUAGGUUAUUCAGACAUCUGGGAGAUUUACCUCGUAUAAUUUUUCAAUAAAUAAAUAAAUAUCUGUAGUAGCCAGGUAACUGGUAGGUUACCUGGCUCCCAACACUACAACUGCAGUUUUUUUUUUUCAUAGGCUAACUUUAGAAGAAAUAGCAUAAAAUUUUCUGACAUGAAAGCUGAAAUUUGUCUGCUUCAAAAUUCAUUGUUUCAGUUCCACCACUGCUAAAGUUUGUGCCUUGGCAUUACUCUUUCAUUGUCUUUGACUUUCUUUGUCUUGUUUCUC